rnacentral:rRNA from 1 species
AUACGUAGGGAGCGAGCGUUGUCCGGAAUUACUGGGCGUAAAGGGCGCGUAGGCGGGUAUUUAAGUCAGAUGUGAAAACUCCGGGCUCAACCUGGAGACUGCAUUUGAAACUGAGUAUCUUGAGGGCAGGAGAGGAAAGUGGAAUUCCUAGUGUAGCGGUGAAAUGCGUAGAUAUUAGGAGGAACACCAGUGGCGAAGGCGACUUUCUGGACUGUACCUGACGCUGAGGCGCGAAAGCGUGGGGAGC